rnacentral:rRNA from 1 species
CCGGAUGCUCCGACUCCUCGCAUGGGGUGUCGGGAAAGAUUUCAUCGGUAUGGGAUGGGGUCGCGUCCUAUCAGGUAGUCGGCGGGGUAACGGCCCACCGAGCCUACGACGGGUAGCCGGCCUGAGAGGGCGACCGGCCACAUUGGGACUGAGAUACGGCCCAGACUCCUACGGGAGGCAGCAGUGGGGAAUAUUGCACAAUGGGCGCAAGCCUGAUGCAGCGACGCCGCGUGCGGGAUGACGGCCUUCGGGUUGUAAACCGCUUUUGAUCGGGAGCAAGCCUUCGGGUGAGUGUACCUUUCGAAUAAGCACCGGCUAACUACGUGCCAGCAGCCGCGGUAAUACGUAGGGUGCAAGCGUUAUCCGGAAUUAUUGGGCGUAAAGGGCUCGUAGGCGGUUCGUCGCGUCCGGUGUGAAAGUCCAUCGCUUAACGGUGGAUCUGCGCCGGGUACGGGCGGGCUGGAGUGCGGUAGGGGAGACUGGAAUUCCCGGUGUAACGGUGGAAUGUGUAGAUAUC